CUUACUGGGAAGCUACACCAGUUUCAGGUGUUUCUAUCUAUCGGGAAACUGCCUUUCCCUGACACCAGCUGUAACCAGUUGAGACAGCCAGGUGGGAGGGGAGACCCUGGAGAAACUUCAACCAGCCUGCACACUGAGGUGGAGUCUCAGGAAGUUCCUGCCCUUUGAAGCAGGGAGGAGCCUGGCCCGGCCUCUUUCUAUGUGGAACCUAGAAUUGGAACCUGGAAUUUGAACUGCAGAUACAGACAACUACACAUGUCUUUCAAGAACAGUUUGCUGGGUGUUGACCAACAUCAAACUGCUUAUCCAGGAACCACUAGAAGUGAAUCUCUUCUUGAGUAUUCCAUACUGCUGCCCCUGCUAUUCACUUGGGGUCCCAGUCAGUUGUUACUAUAUAUUUGUCAUCUAUUGUGAGAGUCGUGAUAUCACCUUCCACAUCAGUGAUACUGAGAAGGAACAAAUCUGCCAAAGAUGCUUCACAGUUAGUUGUUACCUUUUUAAGAAGACUGUGCUUGAAAAUUAUGGUAAAACACAUUUAGAAGAAGGAUGUGCAUUUUCACAUCAGUCUAUGAAGUAUAACUUGACAUUUAAAUUAAAAUGCUGUUCUUCAAAAUUAAUUUUUCCUGUUUUAAUUCCAAGUUUUCUUGUACAGGGGAGAAGAGGUAAGGGGUAGCUCUAAUGUGUUGGCUUCAUUCACAGAAGAAACAUUUUUAUAAACAGUUAAGUGAUGCCAGCUUUCUGUUGAUGCCAUCAGAUCUUGCAAGCAAAAAAUAAGUUAAUUUCAAUAUCAGUUGAUAUUAUUUCAUUCAACCUAUGUAAUAAAGACUCUGUCUCCA
rnacentral:lncRNA from 1 species